CAGAGGCUUGUCCCGUAUCCUGCGUCCGGGCGUCUCCUUAGGGCGCGUCUUCGGGUCCGGCCAGCGGUGCUGAAAAAGGGGAGAAGGUUGGGGGUAGGGAGGAAAGAAGAUCCCAGUUCAAUAGAUUUCUCCGCAGAUCCUGUGCCUUCAAAUCCUACGAGUCCAUACUUUAAAACAAAAUGAAGAAAGUAAGGCUUAAGGAACUAGAGAGUCGCCUGCAACAAGUGGAUGGAUUCGAAAAGCCCAAGCUACUUCUAGAACAGUAUCCUACCAGGCCGCACAUUGCAGCAUGUAUGCUCUAUACAAUCCAUAACACUUAUGAUGACAUUGAAAAUAAAGUCGUUGCAGAUCUAGGAUGUGGUUGUGGAGUACUUAGCAUCGGAACUGCAAUGUUAGGAGCAGGGUUGUGUGUUGGAUUUGACAUAGAUGAAGACGCAUUGGAAAUAUUUAAUAGAAAUGCAGAAGAGUUUGGGUUAACAAAUAUUGACAUGGUUCAAUGUGAUGUGUGCUUAUUAUCUAACAGAAUGUCCAAGUCAUUCGAUACAGUAAUUAUGAAUCCUCCCUUUGGGACCAAAAAUAAUAAAGGGACAGAUAUGGCUUUUCUAAAGACUGCUUUGGAAAUGGCAAGAACAGCAGUAUAUUCCUUACACAAAUCCUCAACUAGAGAACAUGUUCAAAAGAAAGCUGCAGAAUGGAAAAUCAAGAUAGAUAUUAUAGCAGGUGGCUUUUGUUUUACAGAGCUUCGAUAUGACCUGCCAGCAUCAUACAAGUUUCACAAAAAGAAAUCAACUCAGCCCACCUGCACCCAGGUGAAAUGAACAGCCAUGUUGCUCACACAAAGCCUGUUUGGUGGUCUCUUCACACGGACGGGCAUGAAAUGUGGCGCAUGAAAUUUGGUGCCAUGACUCGGAUUGGGGGACCUCCCGUGGGAGAUCAAUCCCCCAUCCUCCUGCUCUUUGCUCCAUGAGAAAGAUCCACCUAUGACCUCAGGUCCUCAGACUGACCAGCCCAAGAAACAUCUCCCGGACCCCACUGGAAAUCGGACUGUUCAACUCACCUGGCAGCCACUCCCAGAGCCCCUGAAACUCUGACCCAAGGCUCUCUGACUCACUCCUUCUUGGUUUAGCAGCUGAAGACUGACACUGCCCAAUUGCCUCGGAAGCCCCGUAGACCAUCGCGGAUGCUGAGCUUUAGGUAACUCUCACAGUGGAGGGUAAGUCCGUCCCCUUCUUAAUCAAUACGGAGGCUACCCACUCCACAUUACCUUCUUUUCAAGGGCCUGUUUCCCUUGCCUCCAUAACUGUUGUAGGUAUUGACAGCCAGGCUUCUAAACCUCGUAAAACUCCCCAACUCUGGUGCCAACUUAGACAAUACUCUUUUAUGCACUCUUUUUUAGUUAUCCCCACCUGCCUAGUUCCCUUAUUAGGCUGAGAUAUUUUAACCAAAUUAUCUGCUUCCCUGACUAUUCCUGGACUACAGCUACAUCUCAUUGCUGCCCUUCUUCCCAAUCCAAAGCCUCCUUUGCGUCCUCCUCUUUUAUUCCCCCACCAUAACCCAUAAGAUACCUCUACUCCCUCCUUGGUGACUGAUCAUGCACGCCUUACCAUCUCAUUAAAACCUAAUCACCCUUACCCCACUCAAUGCCAACAUCCCAUCCCACAGCAUGCUUUGAAAGGAUUAAAGCCUGUUAUCACUUGCCUGCUACAGCAUGGCCUUUUAAAGCCUAUAAACUCUCCUUACAAUUCCAUUUUAACUCCUAAAACCAGACAAGGCUUACAAUUUAGUUCAGGAUCUAUGCCUUAUCAACCAAAUUGUUUUGCCUAUCCACCCCAUGGUGCCAAACCCAUAUACUCUCCUACCCUCAAUACCUCCCUCCACAAUCCAUUAUUCUGUUCUGGAUCUCAAACAUGCUUUCUUUACUAUUCCUUUGCACCUGUCAUCCCAGCCUCUCUUUGCUUUCACUUGGACUGACCCUGACACCUAUCAGGCUCAGCAAAUUACCUGGGCUGCACUGCCGCAAGGCUUCACAGACAGACCCCAUUACUUCAGUCAAGCCCAAAUUUCAUCCUCAUCUGUUACCUAUCUCGGCAUAAUUCUCGUAAAAACACGUGCUCUCCCUGCUGAUCGUGUCCGAUUAAUCUCCCAAACCUCAAUCCCUUACAAAACAACUCCUUUCCUUCCUAGGCAUGGUUAGUGCGGUCAGAAUUCUUACACAAGAGCCAGGACCGCACCCUGUAGCCUUUCUGUCCAAACAAGUUGACCUUACUGUUUUAGCCUAGCCCUCAUGUCUCCAUGCAACGGCUGCCACUGCUUUAAUACUUUAAGAGGCCCUCAAAAUCACAAACUAUGCUCAACUCACUCUCUACAUUUCUCAUAACUUCCAAAAUCUGUUUUCUUCCUCAUACCUGAUGCAUAUACUUUCUGCUCCCCCGCUCCUUCAGCUGUACUCACUCUUUGUUAAGUCCCACAAUUACCACUGUUUCUGGCCCGGACUUCAAUCCAGCCUCCCACAUUAUUCCAGAUACCACACCUGACCCUCAUGACUGCAUCUCUCUGAUCCACCUGAUGUUCAUCCCAUUUCCCCACAUUUCCUUCUUCCCUGUUUCUCACCCUGAUUACGCUUGAUUUAUUGAUGGCAGUUCCACCAGGCCUAAUCACCACACACCAGCAAAGGCAGGCUAUGCUAUAGUACAAGCCACCAGCCUGCCUCUUAGAACCUUUCAUUUCCUUUCCAUUGUAGAAAUCUAUCAUCAAGGAAAUAACUUCUCAGUGUUCCAUCUGCUAUUCUAUCUGCUAUUCUACUACUCCUCAAGGAUUAUUCAGGCCCCCUCCCUUCCCUACACAUCAAGCUUGAAGAUUUGCCCCCACCCAGGACUGGCAAAUUAGCUUUACUCAACAUGCCCUGAGUCAGAUAACUAAAAUACCUCUUAGUCUAAGUAGACACUUUCACUAGAUAAGUAGAGGCCUUUCCUACAGGGUCUGAGAAGGCCACCACAGUCAUUUCUUCCCUUCUGUCAGACAUAAUUCCUCAGUUUAGCCUUCCCACCUCUAUACAGUCUCAUAACAGACCAGCCUUUAUUAGUCAAAUCAGCCAAGCAUUUUUUCCGGCUCUUAGUAUUCAGUGACAGACUAAUGGUCUAUUAAAAACACACCUCACCAAGCUCAGCCACCACCUUAAAAAGGACUGGACAAUACUUUUACCACUUUCCCUUUUCAGAAGUCAGACCUGUCUUCAGAAUGCUACAAGGUACAGCCCAUUUAAGCUCCUGUAUAGACGCUCCUUUUUAUUAGGCCCCAGUCUCAUUCCAGACACCAGACCAACUUAGACUGUGCCCCCAAAUAACUUGUCAUCCCUACUAUCUUCUGUCUAGUCAUACUCCUAUUCACCGUUCUCAACUACUCAUACAGGCCCUGCUCUUGUUUACACUGCCGGUUUACACUGUUUCUCCAAGCCAUCACAGCUGAUACCUCCUCGUGCUAUCCCCAAACUGCCACUCUUAACUCUUGAAGUAAAUAAAUAAUCUUUGCUGGUAGGACUAUGCUGAACCUCCUUAGGCACUCUCUAAUUAGAUGUCCUAGGUCCUCCCAAUUCUUAGUCCUUUUAUACCUGUUUUUCUCCUUCUCUUAUUCCAUUUUUUCAAUUCAUACAAAACCAUAUCCAGGCCAUCACCAAUCAUUCUAUAUGACAAAUGUUUCUUCUAACAACCCCACAGUAUCAGCCCUUAUACCACAAGAUCUCCCUUCAGCUUAAUCUCUCCCACUCUAGGUUCCCACACUGCCCCUAAUCCCGCUUGAAGCAGCCCUGAGAAACAUCGCCCAUUCUGUCUCCAUACCACCCCCCAAAAAUUUUCACAGCCCCAACACUUCAACACUAUUUUAUUUUAUUUUUCUUAUUAAUAUAAGAAGGCAGGAAUGUCAGGCCUCUGAGCCCAAGCCGAGCCAUCGCAUCCCCUGUGACUUGCAUGUAUACGCCCAGAUGGCCUGAAGUAACUGAAGAAUCACAAAAGAAGUGAAAAGGACCUGGCCCGCCUUAACUGAUGACAUCCCACCAUUGUGAUUUGUUCCUGCUCCACCUUAACUGGCUCAGAAGCUCCCCCACCGAGCACUUUGUGGCCCCCCCCCCCCACCCCUGCCCACCAGAGAACAACCCCCUUUGACUGUAAUUUUCCAUUACCUUCCCAAAUCCUAUAAAACAGCCCCACCCCUAUCUCCCUUCACUGACUCUCUUUUCGGACUCAGCUCGCCUGCACCCAGGUGAAAUAAACAGCCAUGUUGCUCACACACACACAAAAAAAAGAAUAACAUGUGAAAAUCAUGUUAAAUAAUUUUUGAGGAUUUAACACUGAUACUAUGACCCAUCACAGUGCAUCUCUAAGUCAAUCAAGUUUAGUAUAUACCAUUUAGAAGACUAAUGCACAGUCUUCUAAAGUAGGGAACUAUGGCCCUACACCUAAUUUUAUCAUGAAAAUGCUCUGGUUCAUCCCCAUUUGUAGACACUUAGACACACAUACACAAAGAAUGUGACCCAAAUCUCAAAUCCUUUGUACUGUAAAACAACAAAAAAAAGACAUAUAUAGGCUAUGAAAAAUAAGAUGAAAACUGCAUUGAUAUAUUUUCCAAACACACAAAAGCCCAAAUUUUAAUACCCAGCCUGAUUAAAAGUUUUAGAUGCAAAAUCAGUAUUAAAACAUAAACUCCUUUAGUAAUGCCUAACAAUGGCUGGGCGCAGCGGCUCAUGCCUGUAGUCCCAACACUUUGGGAGGCCAAGGCAGGCAGAUGAUCUGAGGUCAGGAGUUCGAGACCAGCCUGGCCAACAUGGUGAAACUCCAUCUCUACUAAAAAUACAAAAAUUAGGUGGACAAGGUGGCACGCGCCUGUAGUCCCAGCUACUCAGGAGGCUGAGGCAGGAGAAUCGCUUGAACCCAGGAGGCAGAGGUUGCAGUGAGCCAAGAUCACACCACUGCACUCCAGCCUGGGCGACAAGAGUGAAACUUGUCUCAAAAAAAAAAGAAAAAGAAAAAAAAAUUGUUAACAGUGAAAAGGUACUAAUGAACACUUUUCUUAUAGUCUCAAAAGACUACAGUUCUCACUGAACAAAUAUCAAGCAUUUCUCAAAGGUCAUCUAAAGAUACUAAAAAUAUUGGCCUUUCAGGGGAUACUACUUCCAUGCUCCUUACCCUAGUGUGUGUCCACAUAACUAAAAGGCCAGGAGAAACAUCAGCAAAAAGACUUACUUG